AGUCGUUGAUUGUUUUCAACUAACCACAAAGAUAUUGGAACACUAUACCUGCUAUUCAGCGCAUGAGUGGGGAUAGUGGGCACCACCUUAAGCCUUCUAAUUCGAGCAGAAUUAGGCCAACCAGGAACUUGGCUUGGAGAUGAUCAGAUCUACAGUGUUAUUGUUACCGCCCACGCAGUCAUCAUCAUAUUCUUUAUGGUAAUACCAAUCAUAAUUGGAGGUUUCGGCAACUGGCUAGUCCCUCUAAUAAUUGGUGCACCCGAUAUGACAUUUCCCUGGAUAAAUAAUAUGAGCUUCUGAGUUCUGCCCGUCUCUUUCCUACUCUUACUUGCAUCCUCAACAGUAGAAGCCGGCGCUGGAACCCGCUGAACAGUUCAUCCCCCUUUAGCAGGAAACUGAACACAUGCAGGAGCCUCUGUAGAUUUAACCAUCUUCUCAUUCCACUUGGCAGGUGUUUCUUCUGUUUUAGGGGCCAUUAAU
rnacentral:lncRNA from 1 species